ACUAUAUGAAGCCUUAGUUUUCUCGGAGAGAGAGGGGGAAAGAGAGAGAGAGGAGAGAGAGGACCUCCAGGCUUGCUUGCACUCUCUCUGCAAUUUCUUUUUCUGGUUGAUUGGCCUACGGGAAGGAUGGGAACCAAUGGUGCUGAUGAAGUGAUGAUUUGCAGUGAUGAGGGUGAUACUGCUGAGACCACAGUGGAGAUAAAGAUAAAAACCUUGGACUCCCAAACAUUCACUCUACGAGUGAAUAAAUAUAUGCCAGUUCCUGCAUUAAAGGAACAAAUAGCAACUGUUACUGGGGUAUUAUCAGAGCAACAACGCUUGAUUUGCCGUGGAAAAGUUUUAAAGGAUGAUCAACUCCUCUCUGCUUAUCAUGUUGAAGAUGGUCACACGCUGCAUUUGGUUGUUCGGCAACCUGAACCUUCACCAUCACCUUUGACAGGGGGUAAUGAGAGUGCACCCGAUCAUCAAGCAAAUGAUCUGAAUGCUGGUGCUACUCCUGUAGCUCACAGCAUAGUACUUGGUACCUUUGAUAUUGCUGAUCAAGGUGAUGGAGCUAUUCAGGAUCUCAACCGGAUUGUCUCUGCUGUUCUCAGUUCUGUUGGGCUUGGUAGUGCCAGCAUGGGUACUGAAGUACCUGUUACAGCGGGAUCUUCUCUUAAUGCUCAUGGAAGAACUGAUGCUAAUAGCAUGCCCAGUUCAGUUCAAUUACAACCUGAGCAAGGAUCUCCUAGAGCCCCAUUUGAUCCAGUGCAGGGCCCUUUUCGAAUCCCAGCUGCAGUUCCCUUGACUCCUCUCCCAGGAGUCAUACCAGAUUCUGUAGCAACUCUCUCUCAGUAUUUAAGCCAUAUGAGGCAAGAUUUUAGUGCUGAUGCAGGUACAAACAACAACAAUAAUUCACAGGUUGGCGGAAAUGGAAUUGGAACUGUGGACUAUCUUGGACAGCGUCCAGGUUCAGUUAGUGGUGGUUUUCCAAUGCCUGCAAACUUGGCUGAAGUCCUACGCUCUUCAAGGCAAAUUCUCCUUGAAAAUGUUGGAUCAAGCUUAUCACAACUUGCAGGCCAAUUGGAAGGAGAGGCAACUUUGACUGAUCCACUGGCACGCAUGGGGGUGCAAACUACUGCAAAUAGAACUGGAAUUUUAUUGCAGAAUUUGGGUGCAUUUCUACUUGAGCUUGGACGUACAACCAUGACCUUACGCAUGGGCCGUGAACCGUCCGAGGCGAUGGUUAAUUCUGGGCCAGCAGUCUUUAUAUCUCCUUCGGGUCCCAAUCCAAUGAUGGUUCAGCCUGUUCCAUUUCAACCGGGAUCCAGCUUUGGUGCAAAUCCAAUGGGUGCUUGGCGUGGUCCCCGCAGUUCUGUUGGUACAACAGUUGGUUCAGGGUUCCUCCCAAGAAACAUUGACAUACGUAUCCGCACAGGGGCAUCUGUUUCCAGCACUGGAAAUCUUGAACAACGUGAAAAUAGUAGUCGACAGCAGCCUUCUGGGGAAACAGAGCAUUCAAGGAGCUCUGCCACGGGCGUGCGAGUGGUGCCUGUUCGGACUGUCGUCGCAGCAUUACCCGCUUCUGUUAGCCAUCCUACUCCCCCUGACAGAUCUGGUAGUCCCGUUGGUGUUUUUUAUCCCCUUUUUGCAAGGUUUCAGAACCUUAGUUCUAGUCAGUUGAAUAAUUCUAGGGGUUCUGGUCAACCUCACCAUGGUGGGCCUGAUGCUUCUCAAUCUCCUCUAGGGCAUGACCAAAACAAUGGAACUGUUUCAAGUGAGAGUGGUUUAAGAUCCACAAAUUCGACUUCAAACAAUGGUGCAGAUACAGCAAAUGCUUCGGCCCCCGUAGAAGGUCAAAAUCGGGAAGGUUCGUAUGUAUGUAUGUGCAUCCAUGCAUGUCCUGAAUGUGUGCGUGCGCACGCACUCUCGCUCGUCUGUGUGUGUGAUGACACACUUAUGGGUCAACUUCCAGACCACCCCAACCAUCAACAGACGCCUCUCGUGGCACAAACUCCAACCCUCAUGAUCCACCUAACCGACUCGAGCAGUUGCUCCACACCAUUUUUCCAGGCAAUCAAGUCCAUGUUACGGACAUUAGCAUUCAAGGCCCAGUCCCUGAACAUACUCAACCAGUCCACAGAAUUGUCGAGCGUGCAGUAUUGGAUGAUGCUUCAAGGGCUGCUAUCUCAGGACUGAUGCGUCAAAUCAUGCCCCGGAUAUCUCAAAGCUUGAAUCGAGAGUCUGGUCAGUCAUCAUUUAGUAAUAUUGGUUCUUCUGCAUCAGGGAGGAGUGAUGUUGUAAAUCGACAAUCCAGGAAUACAAAUGGUGAAGUGCGACCUCAAACACCCCAGAUGGGUUCCUCAAGGCCACGAGAUGAGAGCGACAACUCAUCUGAAACCCAGAGGUCGGGGAGGCAACACCCUAGUGAUGAGAGUCCCCAGGAUUCAAAGCGCCAGAAGAGGGAGUGAUGCUGUUGAUAUGUCGCAUGAUAAGCCCAACUACAUGCAAAUCCUUGGUAUACAUAUAUGCACCAUUCUCUUUAUCUUGUGAAAUUGUGGGUGGUGGCCUAGUAGCGAGAGGAAAGAGGUCAAUAAGUGGAGGACAACCGGCCUAUACCGUUGGGUAAGCAUAAGUGAAUAGAUACAUGGCCAUUCUUUCUUUGAGGUUCAACAUUAAUAGGGGGGCAGUUAAAGCAGGCUUUUGAUUCUUGUUCUAUCGAGUAUUUUGAUUUUCAGAGACAAUGCAUUACUUGCUUGAGAAUGAUUUAGAAGUCUUGAGACCAUUGGUGCAAUGCAGUUAGAUUUUGACUUGGGUUGUACAGGUCCAUGUUGUUGUAAGUUGCUUAUAUGAAGUAAACAAGGUCGAUUCUUGUCAUGGAAGAGGUUCGGAAGUUUGAACAGUGUGUGUAUACUAGUCCAUUUUUGGAUGCACAUACACAUCCAAACCCUUUUUUUGAUUUCAUA